CUCAGGUGCUCGGGGGGGGCGUUCCACAGCAUCAGUGGACUGUGGGGCUCUCAGGUGCUCAGGGGGGGCGUUCCACAGCAUCAGUGGACUGUGGGGCUCUCAGGUGCUCAGGGGGGGCGUUCCACAGCAUCAGUGGACUGUGGGGCUCUCAGGUGCUCGGGGGGGGCGUUCCACAGCAUCAGUGGACUGUGGGGCUCUCAGGUGCUCGGGGGGGCGUUCCACAGCAUCAGUGGACUGUGGGGCUCUCAGGUGCUCAGGGGGGGCGUUCCACAGCAUCAGUGGACUGUGGGGCUCUCAGGUGCUCAGGGGGGGCGUUCCACAGCAUCAGUGGACUGUGGGGCUCUCAGGUGCUCAGGGGGGGCGUUCCACAGCAUCAGUGGACUGUGGGGCUCUCAGGUGCUCGGGGGGGCGUUCCACGGUCCCGGCGCCACAUAUGAAAAGGCCCUAUCAGCCAUGCUACGGAGCUCGGUUCUGGGGACUUGGAGGGUGUUC